AGAGAGAUGCAGAGAGAGAGAGAGUCAGAGAGAGAGCGAGAGGGGGAGAGAGAGAAAGAAAGAGAGAUGCAGAGAGAGGCAGAGAGAGGGAGAGGGAGAGAGAGAUGCAGAGAGAGAGAGAGUCAGAGAGAGAGAGAGCAAGAGGGGGGGAGAGAGAAAGAGAGAGAGAGAUGCAGAGAGAGGCAGAGAGAGGGAGAGGGAGAGGGAGAGAGAGAUGCAGAGAGAGGCAGAGAGAGAGGGAGAUGCAGAGAGAGACAGAAAGAGGCAGAGAGAGAGUCAGAGAGAGCGAGAGGGGAGGAGAGAGAAAGAGAGAGAGAUGCAGAGAGAAACAGAAAGAGGCAGAGAGAGAGAGAGUCAGAGAGAGAGAGAGAGAGAGAGAGAGGGGGGGAGAGAGAGAAAAAGAGAGAGCAAUGUAAAGGGAAGGUGAAGAUCAGCUUGGUAAUUAAGUAGUGAACUAGGGCAGGUAAUUAAGUAGUGAACUUGGGCAGUUAAUUAAGUAGUGAACUAGGGCAGGUAAUUAAGUAGUGAACUUGGGCAGGUAAUUAAGUAGUGAACUUGGGCAGUUAAUUAAGUAGUGAACUUGGGCAGUUAAUUAAGUAGUGAACUUGGGCAGUUAAUUAAGUAGUGAACUUGGGCAGGUAAUUAAGUAGUGAACUAGGGCAGGUAGUUAAGUAGUGAACUAGGGCAGGUAGUUAAGUAGGGAACUUGGGCAUGUAGUUAAGUAGUGAACUUGGGUAGGUAAUUAAGUAGUGAACUUGGGCAGGUAAUUAAGUAGUGAACUUGGGCAGGUAAUUACGUAGUGAACUUUGUCACGAAUUCCACCGAAGUCGGUCCCUCUCCUUGUUCGGGCGGCGUUUGGCGGUUGACGUCACCGGCCUUCUAGGCAUCGACGAUCCAGUAUUCAUUUUCAAUUUGUUUUGUUUUUGUUUUACACACCUGGUUUCAAUUCCCCAAAUACAUGUUCUUUAUUUAACCCUCUGUUUUCUCCAUGGUUUUUAUGCGUGUUUGUUUGUUGGCUGAGAAAUGUUUGUUCUUCCAAAAGUCUGUCUCCUUCCAGGGUACCGCAUUUCCACUUCAGGGGUAGAGAUGAAGAGUGACCGCAUUUUAGCCGUGUGUAAUUGGCUGACUCCCACCAUAGUAAAGGAGGUGCAGCGGUUUCUAGGGUUUGUCAACUACUACCGGAGGUUUAUCCGGGGUUUUGGUCAACUAGCGGCUCCCAUUACCUCACUGCUGAAGGGAGGACCGGUGCGACUGCAGUGGGCGGCUGAGGUGGACAGGGGCUUUUGGUCACCUGAAGCCUAUGUUUACCUCGGCUCCCGUGCUGGCCCAUCCGGAU
ensembl:lncRNA